GAUGAACGCUAGCUACAGGCUUAACACAUGCAAGUCGCAGGGUAACAUGAGGAAAGCUUGCUUUCCUUGAUGACGACUGGCGCACGGGUGAGUAACGCGUAUCCAACCUUCCCAUAACUACGGGAUAACCCGUUGAAAGACGGCCUAAUACCGUAUGAUAUCGUUUGCUGACAUCAAAUAACGAUUAAAGGUUUAGCGGUUAUGGAUGGGGAUGCGUCUGAUUAGCUUGUUGGCGGGGUAACGGCCCACCAAGGCAACGAUCAGUAGGGGUUCUGAGAGGAAGGUCCCCCACAUUGGAACUGAGACACGGUCCAAACUCCUACGGGAGGCAGCAGUGAGGAAUAUUGGUCAAUGGGCGAGAGCCUGAACCAGCCAAGUAGCGUGCAGGAUGACGGCCCUAUGGGUUGUAAACUGCUUUUAUGUGGGGAUAAAGUGCGUGACGUGUCAUGCAUUGCAGGUACCACAUGAAUAAGGACCGGCUAAUUCCGUGCCAGCAGCCGCGGUA
rnacentral:rRNA from 1 species